GAGGAAAUGGGAUUCGAACCCAUGAUA
rnacentral:snRNA from 1 species